CCCUGCCCUACAUCAUCAUCUUCGGCAUGUCCACCCCCUUCGUCAUCCUCGCCAUCGCCUUCGCCAAUGGCUGGAUCAAGGUCCCUGUGCGAUGACCGUAACGCGAUCAGCCAGCCUGGAUCAUAGAUGCUGACUCGUCAGCCUGCAUCUCAUCCAGCGUGUGUCCUGCGACUUUGUACCUUCAUAUAUAGAGACAAGAGUUCUUGCGUGUGAGCAUAAUUGCAUGAUCGCGUGGUGUAUGUAACCCGAAACUGUUUAC
rnacentral:lncRNA from 1 species